rnacentral:rRNA from 1 species
GAUGAACGCUGGCGGCGUGCUUAACACAUGCCAGUCGAACGGGAAACCUUUUAAUGAAGCUUCGGCAGAUUUAGCUGGUUUCUAGUGGCGGACGGGUGAGUAACGCGUGGGUAACCUGCCUUAUACAGGGGGAUAACAGUCAGAAAUGACUGCUAAUACCGCAUAAGCGCACAGGACCGCAUGGUCCGGUGUGAAAAACUCCGGUGGUAUAAGAUGGACCCGCGUUGGAUUAGCUUGUUGGUGGGGUAACGGCUCACCAAGGCGACGAUCCAUAGCCGGCCUGAGAGGGUGAACGGCCACAUUGGGACUGAGACACGGCCCAGACUCCUACGGGAGGCAGCAGUGGGGAAUAUUGCACAAUGGGGGAAACCCUGAUGCAGCGACGCCGCGUGAAGGAAGAAGUAUCUCGGUAUGUAAACUUCUAUCAGCAGGGAAGAUAGUGACGGUACCUGACUAAGAAGCCCCGGCUAACUACGUG